rnacentral:rRNA from 1 species
GAUGAACGCUGGCGGCGUGCCUAAUACAUGCAAGUCGAGCGAACAGACGAGGAGCUUGCUCCUCUGACGUUAGCGGCGGACGGGUGAGUAACACGUGGAUAACCUACCUAUAAGACUGGGAUAACUUCGUGAAACCGGAGCUAAUACCGGAUAAUAUAUUGAACCGCAUGGUUCAAUAGUGAAAGACGGUUUUGCUGUCACUUAUAGAUGGAUCCUCGCCGCAUUAGCUAGUUGGUAAGGUAACGGCUUACCAAGGCCACGAUGCGUAGCCGACCUGAGAGGGUGAUAGGCCACACUGGAACUGAGAAACGGUCCAGACACCUACGGGAGGCAGCAGUAGGGAAUCUUCCGCAAUGGGCGAAAGCCUGACGGAGCAACGCCGCGUGAGUGAUGAAGGUCUUAGGAUCGUAAAACUCUGUUAUUAGGGAAGAACAAAUGUGUAAGUAACUAUGCACGUCUUGACGGUACCUAAUCAGAAAGCCACGGCUAACUACGUG